AAACGGUGUCGAAGAAGAGGGACAAGGGAAAAGAACGUUGAGACGUUUUUUUCCCCUGUCCUUCUUCUUCGACACCGUUU
rnacentral:pre_miRNA from 1 species